AUUCAUUCACCGAUAAUCGAUUUGGGUAAUGAUUGGUAUCAAGAAUCCAUUGUCAAAGAUCCUGAAUAUCGUGAUAAACUUAAUAGGAAAAUAUUGUUACGAAGAUUGUUGGCACAAUUGAAUUCAAAUGCCGAAACAUUGAUCGAAAAAGAGAAACGAGAGGAUGAUAUUCCACCUGGUUUCAUUGGUGUUCGUGGUCGUAGAUUUCCAUUUACUUUACGAGAUCUUCGUUCUUUAUUUCAUUUGGUACCGAAUCAGAAAAAAGAUGCGUCCAGUAUUUAUAGAGAUGGAUUUCUCGGUGUUCGUGGAUAAUUGAAGAAUAAUAUUUGAUCAGCAAUAAAUAUGAAUAUAGCGGAUAAUCAUCAUUAUCACCAUCAUCGCCCUCACUGUUAUAAUCAUCGUCAUAAU